AACGAACGCUGGCGGCAUGCCUAACACAUGCAAGUCGAACGAGACCUUCGGGUCUAGUGGCGCACGGGUGCGUAACGCGUGGGAAUCUGCCCUUGGGUUCGGAAUAACAGCGAGAAAUUGCUGCUAAUACCGGAUGAUGACGUAAGUCCAAAGAUUUAUCGCCCAAGGAUGAGCCCGCGUAGGAUUAGCUAGUUGGUGAGGUAAAGGCUCACCAAGGCGACGAUCCGUUAGCUGGUCUGAGAGGAUGAUCAGCCACACUGGGACUGAGACACGGCCCAGACUCCUACGGGAGGCAGCAGUGGGGAAUAUUGGACAAUGGGCGAAAGCCUGAUCCAGCAAUGCCGCGUGAGUGAUGAAGGCCUUAGGGUUGUAAAGAUCUUUCAGUGGGGAAGAUAAUGACGGUACCCACAGAAGAAGCCCCGGCUAACUCCGUGCCAGCAGCCGCGGUAAU
rnacentral:rRNA from 1 species